GUCAGAGAUAACAUGAAAUAAUACAUCAAUAAUUGGUUAGGUGUUAAGUGGUUCAUUUAGUGCUCUUCCUACCGGGUGUGAUGUCACUGGUAUCUUGGUGGUCUCCCUCAGAUUCCAGCGCCAUCUUGUUAAUGAGGGUGUUAGUCAAUAUCAAGAAGGAAACUCCCUAGCGGCCAUUUUAGGUAAAUCACAUAGAAAGUUGAAUAAUGCUGAUUGUAGUUAUGCUG